rnacentral:rRNA from 1 species
UCUACGGAGGCAUGCAGUAAGGAUCUCGCAUGACGAAAGUCUGACCGGCACGCGCUGAGUGAGACGUUUCGAAUCGUAAACUCUGUGUAGAGAGGACAAGGAUGAGAGUAAAUGUUCAUCCUGACCGUAUCUACCCAGAAAGCCACGGCUAACUACGUGCCAGCAGCCGCGGUAAUACGUAGGUGGCAAGCGUGUCCGGAUUUAUUGGGCGUAAAGCGAGCGCAGGCGGUUUCUUAAGUCUGAUGUGAAAGCCCCCGGCUCAACCCGGGGAGGGUCAUUGGAAACUGGGAGACUUGAGUGCAGAAGAGGAGAGUGGAAUUUCCAUGUGUAGCGGUGAAAUGCGUAGAUAUAUGGAGGAACACCAGUGGCGAAGGCGGCUCUCUGGUCUGUAACUGACGCUGAGGCUCGAAAGCGUGGGGAGCGAACAGGAUUAGAUACCCUGGUAGUCCACGCCGUAAACGAUGAGUGCUAAGUGUUGGAGGGUUUCCGCCCUUCAGUGCUGCAGCAAACGCAUUAAGCACUCCGCCUGGGGAGUACGACCGCAAGGUUGAAACUCAAAGGAAUUGACGGGGGCCCGCACAAGCGGUGGAGCAUGUGGUUUAAUUCGAAGCAACGCGAAGAACCUUACCAGGUCUUGACAUCCUUUGACCACUCUAGAGAUAGAGCUUCCCCUUCGGGGGCAAAGUGACAGGUGGUGCAUGGUUGUCGUCAGCUCGUGUCGUGAGAUGUUGGGUUAAGUCCCGCAACGAGCGCAACCCUUAUUGUUAGUUGCCAUCAUUUAGUUGGGCACUCUAGCGAGACUGCCGGUGACAAACCGGAGGAAGGUGGGGAUGACGUCAAAUCAUCAUGCCCCUUAUGACCUGGGCUACACACGUGCUACAAUGGGAAGUACAACGAGUUGCGAAGUCGCGAGGCUAAGCUAAUCUCUUAAAGCUUCUCUCAGUUCGGAUUGUAGGCUGCAACUCGCCUACAUGAAGCCGGAAUCGCUAGUAAUCGCGGAUCAGCACGCCGCGGUGAAUACGUUCCCGGGCCUUGUACACACCGCCCGUCACACCACGAGAGUUUGUAACACCCGAAGUCGGUGAGGUAACCUUUUGGAGCCAGCCGCCUAAGGUGGGAUAGAUGAUUGGGGUGAAGUCGUAACAAGGUAGCC